UGAGUAACACGUGGGUAACCUGCCUGUAAGACUGGGAUAACUCCGGGAAACCGGGGCUAAUACCGGAUGCUUGAUUGAACCGCAUGGUUCAAUCAUAAAAGGUGGCUUUUAGCUACCACUUACAGAUGGACCCGCGGCGCAUUAGCUAGUUGGUGAGGUAACGGCUCACCAAGGCGACGAUGCGUAGCCGACCUGAGAGGGUGAUCGGCCACACUGGGACUGAAACACGGCCCAGACUCCUACGGGAGGCAGCAGUAGGGAAUCUUCCGCAAUGGACGAAAGUCUGACGGAGCAACGCCGCGUGAGUGAUGAAGGUUUUCGGAUCGUAAAACUCUGUUGUUAGGGAAGAACAAGUACCGUUCGAAUAGGGCGGCACCUUGACGGUACCUAACCAAAAAGCCACGGCUAACUACGUGCCAGCAGCCGGGGUAAUACGUAGGUGGCAAGCGUUGUCCGGAAUUAUUGGGCGUAAAGCGCGCGCAGGCGGUUUCUUAAGUCUGAUGUGAAAGCCCCCGGCUCAACCGGGGAG
rnacentral:rRNA from 1 species